rnacentral:lncRNA from 1 species
UAAAUUUCGUGUGGUAAAAGGGAAAUUGGGGGAAUGAACGGGGGUUCCUUGUCCGAUUGUCCAGAAGGGUUUGGAUUUCAUAACUGAGUCGUUUAACAGAUCAAAUUUGUGUCAUUUCAUCGUUGAAUGAGAGAGCAGUUAUGUUUUGUAUAUUUCCAUGUACUACUUUGUAGUUCAGAUUUGUAUGUUUACAUGUAAGAAAACUCCGCAUCUCAUUUAUAUUUCAUUUUCCUUCUCAAACAUAGAUGGUCUUUCAUACUGCCUCUACUUCCAACCCCCACCAAUCUCGUCCUAAGCCCUUGGGAGGAGGACUACCCAGUCAACGUCAGAAGAUAAUCGAGUUUUCAUUGCCGCAUGUGAGACCGUAAUAGCCGACAGGCACCAUAAUGGGAAGUUCUUCACAAAACAUGGCUGGCACACGAUUGUCCAAUUGUUCAACACUAACUCCGAGUACAAUUGGAGUAGGCAGCAGUUGAAAAAUCACUAGGAUUAUCUUCGAGUCAAGUACAAAUGUCUCCAGGGCUUGAUAGACUGCAUAGGCAUCGCAUACGACUCUGCACGCAGUACCCUAGUCGCGUCCGACGAGUGGUGGGCACAAAAGAUUAAGGUACAAAGUUGCUUGAAUUGCCACUUUACAAAUUUAGAUUUCAACCAACACUCUAGUAUUCGUUUUAUUUGUGCAUGGAACUUUUACUGAAACAUGUUACAGUUCGAGCGUCAUCUGUGCGCUAUAGGAUUUGGUAGAAUAUUAGCAAAUAAUUGCAUAACCUUCUGAUUAAAAAAAAAAUUUGUAAUAUCGUAUAUCAUAAAAUUCAGUUGUGUAAUUUCAUAUUUUUAUUCCUUAUCCCGGCUUCUAACUUAUUUUGCAUUUCUUUUUCUUCCAUUCCGAACAGGAGAACAAAAAGUACAGAGAGUUCAAAGAUAAAGAUUGAGAGAGAUAUAUGCCUACAUGGUUCUGUUCAGUGAUGUGUUUGACAACGAGAAGUACACGACGACGCCGAUGAAGUUGUGCAGGACCAGGAUCGCCAUGUUUGAAGACAAUGCAAACGAUGGCACGCACGACGCAAUGCCGAUGUGCAAGGAGAGCAGAGCUCAAGCGAUGAGGGCAACAAGUAUGACAGGCCCUUAUCAAGCAUGGACGUCUCCAGCCGUAGGAGUGGAGAGAAAUAUAGAUCCAACGAUAGUAAAAAUAAGGAGAAGAGAACUAGAAUAUCAGUUAAGGAAUUGUCGUACUCAGUUGACAGAGCCACGAUCGCAAGUGGGAAAGUUGCGGUGAAACUUGAAAACUUAGUCAGAUCCAAUGUUCCAAGCAUGAAGACAUGCAUGAAGAAGUUGUUCGCGACAGGCAGGCUGCAAAAAAUACUAAUCUCUAAUUUUGGACGUACACGUUUCUGUCUUUAAAGCGGAACAUGGAGGUCUGGAGAUGCAGGAUGAUGCGAAUGAAAAGAUGGAUUGGUUGGAGUGGAACUGGCAUGAGUCCAGGAAAGGACGACCAUAGUGAGGACUGCAUGAGGGGCAGAAUAAAUUUUCCCUGUUGCGGAGAGUCCCGCGGAACUUAUUUUUUGCUUUCGUUUUUUUCCGUUUUCAUCAGUGUGCGGUUCAUCAACCUUUGAAUUUUGUUGUUGUGUACUUUUUAAGAUUUUCUGUAUCCAUAUAUGUACUACCAACUACUGAGAUUUCAUGUCCAUAUCUGUUGUGUGAACUUUUGUAAUGUUCACAAAGCUACUUGUUAGUUGGAGUUUGUCAACAAUUGUCAUGAAAAAUUGAGCAUCUCUGACAACCCCAUCUAUGUUAUAAAGUUCAGUAGCUAGGAAAAUCUCUUCACCUUUUUUCAAACUGCACUUUGAACACUUUCAGC